GCGCCCCGUCAAGCGCUGGGCGCCGCGAGGGCGACGUAGUC
rnacentral:misc_RNA from 1 species